UGCAGUAAAACCCCGUUAGAAAAUCGGGCGGGCUUGUCCAGAACUGGGUUAGGGUUCAAGUCAGUCAGCGCUAAACCCCGCAAAUCCCUUCCCUCUCUUGAAUCUCGUUUCUCUCUCCUCUCACCAAAAACCCUCCAUUGUUUGUUUGUUCCUCUCUCUGAGAGAAAUACCACGAAAAAAUGAGCUCUUGGAAGACUCUUCUUCUUCGAAUCGGCGACAAAUGCCCAGAGUACGGCCCCUCCUCCGACUUCAAAGACCAUGUUGAAACAUGCUAUGGCGUGCUUCGGCGAGAGCUCGAGCCCUCUUCUAAUGACAUUUUGCCCCUCCUUCUUCAGUGUGCUGAACAAUUGCCUCACAAGAUUCCCUUUUAUGCGACAGUG